rnacentral:rRNA from 1 species
AACGAACGCUGGCGGCAUGCCUAACACAUGCAAGUCGAACGAGACCUUCGGGUCUAGUGGCGCACGGGUGCGUAACGCGUGGGAACCUGCCCUUAGGUUCGGAAUAACUCCCCGAAAGGGGUGCUAAUACCGGAUAAUGUCUUCGGACCAAAGAUUUAUCGCCUUUGGAUGGGCCCGCGUUGGAUUAGCUAGUUGGUAGGGUAAAAGCCUACCAAGGCGACGAUCCAUAGCUGGUCUGAGAGGAUGAUCAGCCACACUGGGACUGAGACACGGCCCAGACCCCUAGGGGAGGAGGCGGUGGGGAAUAUUGGACAAGGGGCGAAAGCCUGACCCAGAAAUGCCGGGGGGGGGAUGAAGGCCUUGGGGUUGUAAAGCUUUUUUACCCGGGAUGAUAAGGACAGAACGGGGAAAAAAAGCCCCGGCAAACCCCGU